rnacentral:rRNA from 1 species
UACAGAGGUGGCAAGCGUUGUUCGGAAUUACUGGGCGUAAAGGGCGCGUAGGCGGCCUUCUAAGUCAGACGUGAAAUCCCCCGGCUUAACCUGGGAACUGCGUCUGAUACUGGGAGGCUUGAGUAUGGGAGAGGGAUGUAGAAUUCCAGGUGUAGCGGUGAAAUUCGUAGAUAUCAAGCGGAACACCGGUGGCGAAGGCGGCCUUCUGGACAGUGACUGACGCUGAGACGCGAAAGCGUGGGGAGCAAACAGG